UCUCUCUCUCUUUCUCUCUCUAACACACACACACGCACACACACGGGCGCGCGCUGUCUUCCUGACGUGGUUGGGUUUAAGUCUUGUGGUAUUUCCUGCUCCAGAGACUCCUCGAAACAGCUGCUCUGCUUUUUAGACUGACAACGCUGGUCUCCCCAACCCUCCCCAAUCUGUUGCUCUCAGAAGUAGAGCUCCCAGGCCAGACGGGGAGUUCCGGACCUCGCCUUUGGCGGGCGGGAGACGGAGAGAAAAGAGAAAGAAAGAAAGGAAAGAAAAAAGCCCGGGCUGCUGUUGCGCGUGCUGAGUUGCGGCUUACCUCCCCCGCCCUCCCAGCGCAGCAGCGUGUGGUAGCGGGGUGGGUGGGUGAGAAAGUGAGUGACAAUUCGCAGGGUGGGAGUGGGAAGUCCGAAAGCAAAAGGGCUUCUCUCCGGAGCGGCGGCUGAGUGGGCAAGCUGGGAAGUCGCCAGCCCGAGAAAACCGGGUGCCGUCGACCGACCAUGAGUGGCUCUUCGAGGAGAUGCUGCUGGCCGACAAUUUUGGGACUAUGGUGAGGCGCCGCGGAGCAGAAGAAGGGAGCGGGUGUUCUGGUCGCCGGCAGGAAUUAGGACGCGGGGGAUCUGCCUGCGCGCCGAGGAGUACGAUAACCAGAAAAUCUUGCCUUCCCUCUGCCUGCUUGCUUUCUGUCAGUCAUGUUAUGGCAAGGGUUUAUCAUUAUGUUUGAACUGAACCUCUGAGUCAACACUUUGAGCUGUGGGAAGAGUUCAAGAUGAGUAACUGAACACUGGCAAUGUAUAUCAAGUAUGUAAGUUCAACCAAAUAUAUUAAUUUGGGGGGAAUUGCUAGAUUAGUACAUUUUGGAGGUUGGAGAGAGCAAUGUGAUUAAAUUGUCUCUCACCCAAGUGAAUUUCAGUAGCCUCCUUCAGGCAAGCAUCUUAAUUAUGCCAGUUGAAAUCUCUGUUGCAAUGAAGGUACUUCAAGCCCUAACAGGUAUUUAGCAUUUUAUCAGACUGAUACUGUCAAGUAUUGGGUUCUGCUGUUAUUUGCAGUUGUGUUCAUGUUUCUUUAAAUAGUCGGCGAAUCCAUUUGCCUUUUCCCAAAGCAAAAAGAGAUGUGAAUAAGAGGGCUCCUGGUUCAGCUAGAAAACAUAUGCUUUGUUUUCAGGCAUAAUCUAACAUCUUUGCAAGAAUACUGGACAAGGCCUCUAUUUAAUGCCUUGCUACAAUGUAUGUUUCUGUGAUUCUUUUUGGUUAAGAGCCUUUGAAACAGAUAAAAUCUUUAUUGAUACUUA